GACGAACGCUGGCGGCGUGCUUAACACAUGCAAGUCGAACGGAAAGGCCCUGCUUUUGUGGGGUGCUCGAGUGGCGAACGGGUGAGUAACACGUGAGUAACCUGCCCUUGACUUUGGGAUAACUUCAGGAAACUGGGGCUAAUACCGGAUAGGAGCUCCUGCUGCAUGGUGGGGGUUGGAAAGUUUCGGCGGUUGGGGAUGGACUCGCGGCUUAUCAGCUUGUUGGUGGGGUAGUGGCUUACCAAGGCUUUGACGGGUAGCCGGCCUGAGAGGGUGACCUGCCACAUUGGGACUGAGAUACGGCCCAGACUCCUACGGGAGGCAGCGGUGGGGAAUAUUGCACAAUGGGCGGAAGCCUGAUGCAGCAACGCCGCGUGCGGGAUGACGGCCUUCGGGUUGUAAACCGCUUUCGCCUGUGACGAAGCGUGAGUGACGGUAAUGGGUAAAGAAGCACCGGCUAACUACGUG
rnacentral:rRNA from 1 species